GCUCAGGAUGAACGCGGGCGGCGUGCCUAACACAUGCAAGUCGAACGAAGAGGCCCCUUCGGGGGUACUUCAGUGGCGGACGGGUGAGUACAACAUAGGUGACCUGCCCCAAAGCGGGGGAUAACAGUCCGAAAGGAUUGCUAAUACCCCAUGUGGUCAUUGAGAUUUGAGGCUCAAUGUCUAAAGGAGUAAUCCGCUUUGGGAGGGGCCUGUGUCCCAUCAGCUAGUUGGUAGGGUAAUGGCCUACCAAGGCUACGACGGGUAGGGGGCCUGAGAGGGUGACCCCCCACAUUGGCACUGACACACGGGCCAAACUCCUACGGGAGGCAGCAGUGAGGAAUAUUGCACAAUGGGCGAAAGCCUGAUGCAGCAACGCCGCGUGAGCGAUGAAGGCCUUCGGGUCGUAAAGCUCUUUUGAGAGGGACGAGAUAGGACGGUACCUCUUGAAUAAGUCACGGCUAACUACGUGCCAGCAGCCGCGGUAAAACGUAGGUGGCGAGCGUUAUCCGGAUUCACUGGGCGUAAAGCGAGUGCAGGUGGUUUUGUAAGUUGGAUGUGAAAUUUCCCGGCUUAACCGGGAAGGGUCAUUCAAUACUGCAGGACUUGAGGGCAAAAGAGGGGGGUGGAAUUGCCGGUGUAGUGGUGAAAUGCGUAGAUAUCGGCAGGAACACCUGUGGCGAAAGCGGCCCCCUGGUUUGCUCCUGACACUCAGACUCGAAAGCUAGGGUAGCGAACGGGAUUAGAAACCCCGGUAGUCCUAGCCGUAAACGAUGGAUGCUAGGUGUAGGUGGUAUUGACCCCAUCUGUGCCGAAGCUAACGCGUUAAGCAUCCCGCCUGGGGACUACGGCCGCAAGGUUAAAACUCAAAU
rnacentral:rRNA from 1 species